rnacentral:rRNA from 1 species
UACGUAGGGGGCAAGCGUUGUCCGGAUUUAUUGGGCGUAAAGAGCGUGUAGGCGGUUUGGUAGGUCCGCUGUGAAAACUCGAGGCUCAACCUCGAGACGCCGGUGGAAACCAUCAGACUAGAGUCCGGAAGAGGAGAGUGGAAUUCCUGGUGUAGCGGUGAAAUGCGCAGAUAUCAGGAGGAACACCGGUGGCGAAGGCGGGUCUCUGGGCCGAUACUGACGCUGGAGGAGCGAAAGCGUGGGGAGCGAACAGG